AUACGUAGGGUGCGAGCGUUGUCCGGAAUUAUUGGGCGUAAAGAGCUUGUAGGCGGUUUGUCGCGUCUGCUGUGAAAAUCCGGGGCUCAACCCCGGACUUGCAGUGGGUACGGGCAGACUAGAGUGUGGUAGGGGAGACUGGAAUUCCUGGUGUAGCGGUGAAAUGCGCAGAUAUCAGGAGGAACACCGAUGGCGAAGGCAGGUCUCUGGGCCACUACUGACGCUGAGAAGCGAAAGUGUGGGGAGCGAACAGGAUUAGAUACCCUGGUAGUCCACGCCGUAAACGUUGGGAACUAGGUGGGGGUCUCAUUCCACGAGAUCCGUGCCGCAGCUAACGCAUUAAGUUCCCCGCCUGGGGAGUACGGCCGCAAGGCUAAA
rnacentral:rRNA from 1 species